AUGACUUUCUGUCUUCCAUCCUCACAGUCACCCUUUGAGGUGGGUAUUAGGAUGAACCAUAUAAAACUGCCAUUUUUGUAGGUCAAAAACAGUCAAAUAUUGGUAAUUGUAUGUGGUCAAAUCUAAUAAUCUGUUUGUAAUAAAAAACAGUCAAAUAUUAGCAGUCCUGUAUGGUUCAAUCUGAUCAUCUUAUUGUAUUUGUUUUGCAAAUAGAGAAAUUCAGACAUUGAAACUUGCUCAAAGUCCACCCAUCUAGCAGGUGCCAGAACUGGAAUUUGAACAAGGCAGUCCCCUCCACACCCUCACACUGAACUGCCGCACUGUGCUGUCUCCUUGAGUGGAAGGAAAAGGCAUAUUUUUGUGGCCUAGGUGUUCAAAUAGGUUCUUCAACAACAUCUCGGCCAACUUUGAGAUCAAAGAUGGUUGAUCAGAUGAAUCAAAUGUUUCCUGGAGUCUUGGGUUACACUCAUAAUGCUCUGUUUAAAAGGAAUGAUAAGUAGUGAGCACACCAGAAAUCUGGAAGAUGGAAAAUCUCUCUUUAGGAUCUCUGCUCCUCUCUCGAGCAAAGAAAGAAAUCGGUGUGGUGCCAGCAGAGGUGUUCUCAGCAGGACCUGGCCCAUUAAAUGAAAGACUUCCAUGCUGAGCCAAUCAAGAGAGACCUGGACAAAAAUCAGACUCUUUCCUGCCCUGGAAACCCAUGCCUUGAAUCUGUAAUUCAUCUGUUAAAUCAAGUGUGCAGCCGGUGGUUUAGCACAGAGGGGGAUGACGGGGAAGGGAAGAGAGAGGGGCAGGAGCUGCAGCACUUGAAUUUCCAGCAUCAGAGUCCAGUUAAGGAAAAGAAACAGGGCUGUGAUAGCUUCUUGGACCUUAUGUUUCCAGCAGAGAAAGCAGCAGGAAAGAUUUUUGCAAACAGAUGAGCCGGUGGAAGGUAUUAGAACAAUGGCAGAAGAGGCAGGGACCCCAGGCGCUGAACAAAACACAGUUCCGCUGUUGCCUUUCAACAAGACUGAAUAAAGUUUAGGAUUUUUUUUUUAUGGGACUUGUAGCCGUUUUUAAACUUUCAUUUUUCAUAAUGUCACAGAUAAUCUUUUUAUCUAUUAUCCACUGGCUCUUUUCUGAGAGGCAUUUGCAUCAAAUAGUGCUGCACAGAUCAUGACUGUCUCUAGUGGGGAAAGCAGCUUGAAAUGAAAGGUUAUUCACUCCCUCUGCUUUCGCUGGCUUUGUUCUUGAUUCUCACACAUUUUUUUACAUCUGAAUUCGGGUAUUUCUGGAGUUUUUCUUUAGAAACCCUUCCAUUCUGAGAUCUAAGCAUAUUCAGACUCCGAUCUAUAUAUCAGGGGUUACAAAGCUUAUGCCUACUGAAAGUGAAGCAUGUACUUUGAAACACGUUGGAUGCCCCAUGGUUUCCAAAAUCCCUUCAGAGCAUUUCCUACAGAGGCAGCAACCAUAAAAAGCGGCCACUCACACAGUGGGGGCCCUUUCCCUAGCACUGGCCUCCCGGUGGCAGUGGAGCAGUGGCCUUCCAAGCGUGCACUGCGAGACAUGAGUGGGGCAAUCUGCUGCUUCCAACUGCAGGGAGAACGGGUCUGCAGAAUGAAUUCUCUUUCUCCACUCCUCCCAUGUGGGGAACGAAUGAGAGCCCUCCCGGCGGGGAGAAGCGGGGCUGCAGGAGAGCAUGGUGGAAAACCCAGGAGCCGCCUGAGCUAACAGGGAAUCAAAAAUGACCUUUUUGUGUGCAAAACCCCCUGGGGGGAAAAAAAAAAAAA
ensembl:lncRNA